rnacentral:rRNA from 1 species
UACACAUGCAGUCGAACGAUGAAGGAGGAGCUUGCUCUNNNUUGGAUUAGUGGCGAACGGGUGAGUAACACGUGAGCAAUCUGCCCUUGACUCUGGGAUAAGCGCUGGAAACGGCGUCUAAUACCGGAUACGACCCUCGGAGGCAUCUCCUGUGGGUGGAAAGAACUUCGGUCAAGGAUGAGCUCGCGGCCUAUCAGCUUGUUGGUGAGGUAAUGGCUCACCAAGGCGACGACGGGUAGCCGGCCUGAGAGGGUGACCGGCCACACUGGGACUGAGACACGGCCCAGACUCCUACGGGAGGCAGCAGUGGGGAAUAUUGCACAAUGGGCGCA